CGGUCUAGCGGCCCGGGCGAGUGCUGUGAACCUCCGUCUCUAACAGGUUCUUCCACCCUCUCAGGGACUUUUAAGGCCUGAAGUGGGCGGUGUCCUCUCAGGCCGCGAGUUUUCUGCUCUGCAGGCUCUUCUAGCAGAAUUUUUCCACGCAAACUCUCCGUAGCCGCUGAAAAGGAGACUGAGGCACAGUAAAAGGAAGUGAUUGUCCAAGGACAUGCCGGCUCUGAGAGGUCCCAUGCACGCACUGCUGCACUCAGUGCCCCCAACCCUGCAGCCGGCCACCACCAGCCUAUGCCUCUGCUAGAGACUCCUGGACACUCACAGGCAAGCCUGAGUCAGUCUCUUGUGGGAACACUGCUCCUUUCUCCCGGGUCCUGGUGCAUACAAGUGCCCAGCACUUGACCUGUAAUAGAGCACAAUCACUGUUCUGGUUGGAGGAAAUGAAGGAAGAAGCAAGGGAGUGAACAGGGUGUGGAUCCGACACCAACGAGAGACAGGUCCAGUUUCCUGACCUGUAAAAUGGGACUACAAUGCCUACCUCCCAGAGUACCAACAUGAUUGCCAAAUACUGAACACUUGGGCUCAUAGAUACAUGGAAAUCAAAGCAAUUGCCAGAAUAUGAGAUGUUUGGAGAGGUGAUUCCUACUCUGGAAAUGGGAGGAUAUGGAAAUAAGAGAGAAGGAAAAUCAAGAUGAAGUGUUUCCAAUCUAUUCAGCUAUGCAGAGAAAAGAUGGGGAAGAGGACAUUUCUCUGGUGAUUCCCAGGUACAAAUCAGAAGUAACAAGGUUCCUGGCCUUCUCUAUGGAACUCCCAACCUGGCUCAAGCCCAGAGCUGAAAGUAGCCGACUGGGCUACAUCUAGAUGGACUAACCUGAGCCCAGGAGUCAUUGUCUCUCUUCUGCUCAGAGUUGCUUUUGGAGGAGCCUUCCCAAAAAGAGCUUCACUCAUUGGAAGAAAAAAAUGGCAGGAGAGUCCCAAGAUUUGUUUUCCACUUCCUGCUCUGUCUACUAAGGAGCCGCAUGACUUGGGGCUGAAGUGGAGCUACUACAACCGAACCACCUAGCUUGUGGGAAAAUGAUUCUGUGCUCGGAGGUGAAAUGCUUUCAAGGCUCUCUGGUGCUGAGUGGUGUCAUCGCAGAAGCUGGGUGGCUCUGAGGACAUGAUCCCUGCUCUGGAUGCUGGAGAAUCUCUGAAGAAUUUUUGGCAGGCAUAAUCAGGCCUCUGCUUUACAAAUGUGGAUGAGGGCUUUUAGGGGCCCUCUGGAGGCAACAUGAAGGCUUUGACUGUGGAUCGCAAAAAACUGGAAAAUUCUGAAAGAGAUGGG